rnacentral:lncRNA from 1 species
CCCACCACUGUGGAGGCGCAUAGGAAAUGUUGGAGGGAUGUGCUUCCUGUGACCAGGACCCACACAAGACCAGGUCCAGGUGCAGGGUACCCAACCCAGACAGCACUUUGCUCUGACCAGUCCCAGGCACGAGAAAGGGGCUUGGAUGGCUUUGAGGAAGGUACUCCAGAGAGGCGGCCUGGCUGGGCAAGGUCUGGAGCAGGACCUCUGCUUGCCUGUGUCUAGGGGUGAUGAUGCUUCCUGACUCACGAGGGGCCCAGUGACAACUGCUGCAUAAAGAGAGAAACUGAGGAAGCAUUAGAAUCUGAAGUAUAGAUGCCACACUCCACACCAUGCUCAUGGAAGACACCCCUCAUGGCCCCAGGACCCUCAUCAAGCCAGUUCAUGACUCCAAUCAUCUAUCUCUAGUGUGAGAGCUGAUAUGUCAGCUGAAAUUUAUUUGCUACUGCUUCUGGUUGAAAGCAGUGCUUUUCGAGCUUACAUGCAUGGGAAUCACCUGGGCACCUUACUAAAAUGCAGAUUCUGAUUCGCCAGGUCUGGGGUUAGGCCUGCGUAUCUUCUGACCAGCUCCCAGGUGAUGCUGAUGCUAUCCGUCAGCGGGCCACACUGAGGCUCGAGACUUCUCUGUUGGCAGGACAGGAGCAGAGUCUAAAAGACAAAGUGUGAGCAAGUCGAUGUGUGGGUGGGGAGAAGAAAAAGGAAGAAAGGACAAAAGGAGGAAGGAUUGAGUAAAUGGGGCUUUCUGUGCGUAAGAGACAGCUAAUGAGGAUCCUUCCCCAGCCUACAGCUGAUGCAGCGUAUAAGGGUUUUGGGGGAACAACUACCAAAGUCAUUACCUCACCGUCCCCCAUAUUUCUCAUCCUUUUACCCCUAUGAAACAUUUCAAAUGGAGUGGGAAUGUUGGACUCCAAAGCACAGGCUGUCACUCAUUUCUACUCAGCCAGAUGUUUUUGAGUGCCCACAGAUUUAUGUAACUUGUGGCCUGACACAAGAUGUUCCAUGAAUAGAUGUUAGUGGUCUCAUUUCCACACUGCGGAGUGUGCAAAUCCUUGUACCUCAGCAGGCUGAGUUUCUGGGGUUAGGAUGGUCCUGUGGUUUCUCAAAGUACAGUGAUAACUCCCACCAAAGUAUUCAAGCCCAGUGAGCACAUGGCACACGGUGCCCCUCCUCUCAUUUCCCCUGCCUUCUCUGCAAUAUUGAACAGCCCUCAUACAUGCUGCGUCUUUCUGCCCUAUCAGACUAGCAAGAAAAUACAGCACUUUUUUCAUAUGGGAAGAAUUAAGAGAAAAGAGUCUUUUGCUCCUUAGACACAGAAGCUUUAUUAUUAUUUAUCUUGUAAUUUUACCCCACUUACCAAAUUUCUUUCUAAAAUGAAAUAAGUUUUUAUUCCAUGUAGCAUUUUCAUUCUCACAGUUUAAAAUUAACUGAGGCAUUUUGCAGUAAUGAAUCAGAAACACUAGAUGUCACACAAGAACCACCUAGCCUAAGGUUUAACCUCGUGUUUACAUUCGACCACUUAGUAGAUUUUAGGUUUCCAGAAAUCUUAAGAAUGUUUCAUUGCACACUUAUCAUAUUGAUUUAAAUACCAAUAGUUUCUUGAAUCGUUAUGUUGUCUAUGUCAGGGAUAUCUCAGAAAAACUAACGGUUGUGUAAACAGAUUUAUGCCUAAUUCUAGAUAUUUUAUAUUCUGAUCUAUGAGAAGGCCCUGAAAGACAUGAUAAGAAGAAAAGGAACAAUUUUUAUCUUUUAAUGGCUAGGUAGUUUCAUGUACAUAAAUUUGUGGUUUACAUACAAAAUUCCCAAACCCUAUUCCCCUUCGACCUUAACCUAGCAACUUUUAGGCUAGAGGAGCUUUUGUUUUGUCUUGUCUUCCUGAUGGCUAAACUACCAGAGCUUCAUAUAAUAGAGAUGCUUCUGGGGAGACCUACCUUGAAGGCACCAAAUCAAUCAAGAAGUGUUCCUUGAACGUCAACCAUAGCAAGAUCCAUGUAGGAGAAGCAUUUUAAACAAACAUUGAUGUUGGAUUUUUUCCCUAUAGAGAAAAGUUUCUUAAUAUAAUGUACUCUAAAUCUUGUCUUAAUUUCCCUUUCAGAUUUAAGGAAAAGUCUUGAUCAUUAAUUUUUCUACUGGACUUGUUCCUUUUUGGAUAAAUUUAGCAUAUUUUUAGGCUUCCAAUUCUCUGACAUUUAUUAUAAUUUCUCAUAAACCUAAUUUAGAGGCAGUCUGUUUCAUCAUAUAGAUUGUCUUUAGAAACUUAUAAUACCACUUUAAUAACUUUUGUGUAGUUCAGCAUUCAAGUUAAUUCAUCCUGGAAAAUUUUCAGGGAGAAGCUCAAAAGUUUGAGAGAAGUAGAGACUCUCAGAAUGGGAGAGUACUUUGAUUGUCAUGAUGGGCAAUGGGUAGAUUCCAUAUUUCCAUUAAUGAGACUUAAACAAUAUCUUUCAGUCAAUGACACUAUCCCUGGACUACAUUGAUCUGAAGACAAAUUAAAAAUCACAAUUUCUGGGGGACCCAGUUUUUGGGUGGCUCAGAUGAUUAAGUGUCCACCUUCAGCUCAGGGUCAUGAUCCUGGGGUCCUGGGAUCAAGCCCUGAGUCAGGCUCCCUGCUCAAUGGUGAGUCUGCUUCUUCCUCUGCCCCUGCCCCUCCUUGUGCUCUCUUGUGCUCUGUCUCUCCCUCUCAAAUAAAUAAAAUCUUUAAAAAAAAAACAAACAAACACACAAUUUCUUCUUCUCUGGCUCAUCUGUUGUAUCUUCCAACCAGUUUCCCAGCUGGAUGAGAAUGGAAAGAGUACUGGUGUCAGAGGCCAAGGGUCCAGUUCCAUUUUGGUCACUCUUAUAAUCUUGGGCAAAUCAUAUACCCCCUUAGUCAUGAAAAUUUCUGCUCAUACUCUAAGCACUUCAUAUUCUGUAAAAGUGUUCUUCACAUUUUUAAGCCCAGAGUGAUGCUUUUCUUUUUCUUUUAUAUUCUUUGAUAAUCUAAAAAAAAUCAAUUUCAUCCAUUUUUUAUAAAGUUAAAUAAGAUAAUAAAAGUUUUCAACUUGUGAAGGUAGAAUGCCAGUUUUACUUUGCCAAAAGUUAACAAUUUUUUUCUGUUUCUCUUUCGAUUUUAUAAAAUAAAUUGAAAUAAAG